UUGAUAGAAACCAAAGAGAGGUAUAUCACUGUUAAUGAUAAAAUUGAAUUUAAAUUCCUGUCAAG
rnacentral:tRNA from 1 species